rnacentral:rRNA from 1 species
UGGGGAAUAUUGGACAAUGGGGGAAACCCUGAUCCAGCCAUGCCGCGUGAGUGAUGACGGCCUUAGGGUUGUAAAGCUCUUUUACUCGGGAAGAUAAUGACUGUACCGAGAGAAUAAGCCCCGGCAAACUUCGUGCCAGCAGCCGCGGUGAUACGAAGGGAGCUAGCGUUGUUCGGAAUUACUGGGCGUAAAGAGUACGUAGGCGGUUAUUUAAGUCAGAGGUGAAAGCCUGGGGCUCAACUCCAGAAC